AGAGAGCGUGGAAUUCCCUGAGCAGAAUUGCUACCAACCAGAUUAGCCAACCUGUGCUGCAGACGGAAAUUCGAUGCAGCUUUCCAGGAUCUAAGUUUAUAGAGGAACUGAGAAAUUGCCCUAAUUGACAUAUGGCAAAGUUGAAGCUCUAACUUCAAAAAAGAGUACUGAACAACACAGGAAGCACUGAAGAAACUAACAGCAAAAAGGUGGAUGUACAUGCAAGUACAUACAAAGAUUUUGUCCAGGGUUGCAAAAAAGAAUCAAACAUAUAUUUGGAAAAGAAAGGAUCUGCCAUAAACUCCAUACACCUCACCCCAAAAGGAGAAUCCUCACAAUCUCAACUCCAGACCAUGAUCUACAGCCUUGUCAUGGUCUGAAAACUAAGACAACCAAGACAAAACUAAGGCAUAGAUUGUGAGUUUGAAAGGUUUUCCCCCUUAAUGCAACAGAGAAAAAGUCUCUCUGCGGGAAGAACCCCUCAGGUGUUUAGGACUGUCUUUGAAGCUGUAAGAACUCACAGAUACAUAGAAGAGGCUGUACAGCACCCAACAUUGUCAGAAAAUCUUAAGUUGGGGGACGACUGAGACUUCUCAAAGGACAUUUGUGAAAGCUGUCAUUUGUGGAUGCCAUCAGGGCUUAAGCAUGAGCUGGGUAUCUACCUACUGAGCUCAGGAAGGGAAGGGAAAAAAAAAGAAGAAAGAGAAAGCAGAGGCAGUCCCAGGCAUGCCCAGCAGCAGACCUUUGGGCACCUCAGGAAUUUUACUGGCAGGAACAUAGGCACUUGCAGACUUCAGACGCCUCCAGGGUUAGGCAGUAGCUGAACAGGGGUUUUGAGGAUCUAAAUAUUGGCUGCAAAUGCCUAUGAGGCAGCUUACAUGCCUAAACCUUUUUUUGUGGCUCUAGCCCUAAACUAAUAUUAUGGAAAAUACCAACAAUUAUUAGGGACUUCUUAUCAGAUUGGAUACAUAUUUCCUUUACAUAACUUUACCAUGGCCUCAUUUAUGUGGUGCUUAGAAAGGAUGAAUACCUGUUCUGCAUGAGUAAUUAUGCCAAAGGCUUGUGUGAGGGAGGUAGUUUAUGACUGCUGAAUAAGGCCAGCUAUGUUUACCUAUACAGCUUCAUCACUUAAACUAAAAAUUGGUCUUACCGCUAAAUCUCCCUCAUUGCUUCAUUUGCCUGAUUGCAAACAGAUCCCAGAACAUGCAGUUGCACUAAGAUGAUUGAUGCCAAGAUGCUGCACUGAAAAGGAAGAAUUCUUUUAAGUGUUAUCAUGACCAUGAGCAUAAGCAAAGCCAUGCCACGUGACAAAAUGUAAAUAGAGCAUUUCUUAGAAAAGCCAUUUAUUUGCCUCCAUGAUUUAUUAUUCAGUGACAUAUAGGGUAUUUUUUCUUUGUUACUGGCACUCAUGUUCAUAAUAACAAGGUACUUGACUUGAAGGUAUUUGGCCAACCUUUCCAAAGUGCUAUGUAAGCAGUAAUCAGAGAGAGCUAGGCUUGUGAGUCAACAAAUUGCUCUCCCAUGCUGAUCAAACAGUCUUGGCAUCUCUAUUAAAAAAAACCAAAACCAGAUUUUGGACUGGCUUACCCAGUUUUCUCUCUAAAAUUUUUUAUUGUAUUUGCAUUUGGCAGAGUCCAGGCUCAAAAUAACCAAAGGUGACAGUUGUUUUAUUAAUAAUGUUUUACAUGUGAUUUUCAUUUACAUAUAGAAGGAUAUAUGAGAUAGCCAGUUAGCCUCUAAAGUUCUUGUUGGCACAAAUUGGGUUUCAUUUGCUCAACCUAGAGGCAAAUGCUUCUCUCGUUUUACACCAUACCUCUGCAGCCUGCAGUAGAAAACAGUCUAAUACUCGGGUCAAAGUUAGUCAGCUCAGUAGAGUUGAGGUUUAUUAUGAAAAGCUUUCAUUCCAACCUACUCCAAGUUAUUACUAUUAAAGCAAGUAGCAAUCAGAUAUACUGCACAAGCUGCUGGCAUUAUCGGAGGGGAGAACUCAAAUCUAAGUGGGAUUUAUGCUCAGUUUCCAUCAUCUAUGCCCAUUAUAUGUGCCUACAAACCCAGGUCCUGAAUACAAAAUAUACACCCAUGCUUAAUCUUGCUACUUCACUUGUAAAUUAAUGGCUUAAAAUGAAAUACCUGUAGUUGUGUAUCAUUUCACUGCUUCUGUGUGCAAAGUGAGUAGGGCUGCAUGAAUAAUAGCAUUUAUUUUCACUGUGAUUGCUGAAUUCAAAAUCUUUUGGAAGCUUGCGUUAAACUGGUGGAACUCUCCUCUCUUUCCUCCUCUUAAUUUUUUUUUCCAUGAAACAAAAAAAGAGGAAACCUUAUGUGCAUUGAAAAGCUCCUUCUGACCC